AUACUACUCCCUCUGUUCGGAAUUACUCGUCGAAGAAAUGAAUGUAUCUAGAUGUAUUUUAGUUGUAGAUACAUCCAUUUUUAUGACAAGUAAUUCCGAACGGAGGGAGUACAAA
rnacentral:pre_miRNA from 1 species